UACAGAGGUCUCAAGCGUUGUCCGGAGUUAUUGGGCGUAAAGAGCUCGUAGGCGGUCUGUCGCGUCGGUCGUGAAAACCUGCAGCUUAACUGUGGGCGUGCGGUCGAUACGGGCAUGACUGGAGUUCGGCAGGGGAGACUGGAAUUCCUGGUGUAGCGGUGAAAUGCGCAGAUAUCAGGAGGAACACCGGUGGCGAAGGCGGGUCUCUGGGCCGAUACUGACGCUGAGGAGCGAAAGCGUGGGGAGCGAACAGG
rnacentral:rRNA from 1 species